rnacentral:rRNA from 1 species
UGAAUACGAGACGCUAAGGCGUCGAAGUAGUGUAUGUCAUACUUCCAAGAAAAGCUUGCACUGUCAUAGAUAAAAAACGCCUGUACCAUAACCGACACAGGUGGGUAGGUAGAGUAUACUAGGGGCGCGAGAUAACUCUCUCUAAGGAACUCGGCAAAAUAACUCCGUAACUUCGGGAGAAGGAGUGCCUUAUUCGUAAGGUUGCAAUAACAAGAUCCAAGCAACUGUUUAUCAAAAACACAGGUCUCCGCUAAGUCGUAAGACGAUGUAUGGGGGCUGACGCCUGCCCAGUGCCAGAAGGUUAAAGAAGUUGGUUAGCAAUUGCGAAGCUGAUAACUGAAGCCCUGGUGAACGGCGGCCGUAACAAUAACGGUCCUAAGGUAGCGAAAUUCCUUGUCGGGUAAGUUCCGACUCGCACGAAAGGCGUAAUGAUUUGGAUACUGUCUCGGAGAGGGGCUCGGUGAAAUAGACUUGUCUGUGAAGAUGCGGACUACCUGCACCAGGACAGAAAGACCCUAUGAAGCUUUACUGUAACUUGAAAUUGAAAUUGGACUUUAUUCGCGCAGCAUAGGUGGGAGGCGUUGAUUAUAAUCUUGCGGGAUUAUUGGAGCCAUCAGUGAGAUACCACUCUUGUAAUGUUAGAUUUCUAACUUUGAAUCAUUAUCUGGUCAAAGAACAGUUUCAGGCGGGCAGUUUGACUGGGGCGGUCGCCUCCUAAACGGUAACGGAGGCGUACAAAGGUUUCCUCGGAACGGUUAGAAAUCGUAUCUAGAGUGUAAAGGCAUAAGGAAGCUUGACUGUGAGACCUACAAGUCGAGCAGGGACGAAAGUCGGUCUUAGUGAUCUGACGGUACUGAGUGGAAAGGCCGUCACUCAACGGAUAAAAGUUACUCUAGGAUAACAGGCUGAUCUCCCCCAAGAGUUCACAUCGACGGGGAGGUUUGGCACCUCGAUGUCGGCUCAUCGCAUCCUGGGGCGGUAGUACGUCCCAAGGGUUGGGCUGUUCGCCCAUGAAAGCGGUACGCGAGCUGGGUUCAGAACGUCGUGAGACAGUUCGGUCCAUAUCCGGUGUAGGCGUUAGAAUAUUGAGAGGAGCCUUCUUUAGUACGAGAGGACCGAGAAGGACAUACCUCUGGUGUACCAGUUAUCGUGCCAACGGUAAACGCUGGGUAGCUAUGUAUGGAGUGGAUAACCGCUGAAAGCAUCUAAGUGGGAAGCCCACCUCAAGAUAAGUAUUCUCAU